AAGCAUUCCAAAGACGGAUAGGUGCCUAAACAUUCCAAAGACAGGUAGGUGCCUAAACAUUCCAAAGACAGGUAGGUGCCUAAACAUUCCAAAGACAGAUAGGUGCCUAAACAUUCCAAAGACAGGUAGGUGCCUAAACAUUCCAAAGACAGGUAGGUGCCUAAACAUUCCAAAAGUCAGGUAGGUGCCUAAACAUUCCAAAGACAGGUAGGUGUCUAAACAUUCCAAAGACAGGUAGGUGCCUAAACAUUCCAAAAGUCAGGUAGGUGCCUAAACAUUCCAAAGACAGGUAGGUGCCUAAACAUUCCAACAGACUAAGAGAUAGGUAAAGGUGGAAAUGGUUUGUCAUUGUUAAAUUUUUUAUUAAAUGCUUCAAGCGUAUCUUUGGAAGUAAAAAUAGAAUAUUUAUUGGUAUAAAUGUAUAUGUAUAAAAAUCACACUAUGCUUUUUUAUUGUAAAUAAUAUAUGUCAGAAAAAUCGGCACAUAAUUAAAGUUUUAUUUGAUAAAAAUAGUAAUGUAGAAAAUAAGGAUAGCAAUCAAGUGCGUUGUUAAUAACAACAUGAAGUCUUACAACAGCAUUAACUGUUGAGCUUAUUGGAUGUCUUUUUUUUGUAUCCAAUUGAAUUAAUGUUACUUCGGUAGGCACCCAUGAUCAGAAUUAUACAGUCCAACCUGCCAACCAGACGACAACGCUUCGUUGUUUUUAAAACUAUCACACCUAGAGCGAAGCAUGAGUUCUGGUUGUCUCUGGUCCAAAGGACCUCUCAGCAAAAUAUGCUUGAUAUAGAACACCAACCACAGUUCAUUAAAGAUAAAUUUAUUUGAAUAGUUAUUAGACUCUUUUUAAACGAGA
rnacentral:sRNA from 1 species